UAGAUAUUUAGGCACAGUUAGUUAUGCUGGUGUUUUCAAUAAUGAAUUUUCUUUAACCAUCAAGUCCUCAUGGUGAGAUUCCACAGUAAGAUGUCAAAGGCAACAAUCACAUACUGCCACGAAACAAAGCAAUGAAACACAUUAUUCAACAUUUUAAUGUCUGGUAUGGCUGGUAUGGAAUAAAUCAUCUCCAUAUUGAAACAGCGCAGUGGCAGGGUUGUGA